UCCCUGGUGGCUCAGAUGGUAAAGAAUCUGCCUGCAAUGCAGGAGACCUAGGUUCGAUCCCUGGGUUGAGAA
rnacentral:tRNA from 1 species